CCACCCGUAGCUCAAUUGGCAGAGCAGCUCCCUCUUAAGGAGACGGUUGAAGGUUCAAUUCCUUCCGGGUGGA
rnacentral:tRNA from 1 species